GAUGAACGCUGGCGGCGUGCCUAAUACAUGCAAGUCGAGCGAACAGACGAGGAGCUUGCCCCUCUGACGUUAGCGGCGGACAGGUGAGUAACACGUGGAUAACCUACCUAUAAGACUGGGAUAACUUCGGGAAACCGGAGCUAAUACCGGAUAAUAUAUUGAACCGCAUGGUUCAAUAGUGAAAGACGGUUUUGCUGUCACUUAUAGAUGGAUCCGCGCCGCAUUAGCUAGUUGGUAAGGUAACGGCUUACCAAGGCGACGAUGCGUAGCCGACCUGAGAGGGUGAUCGGCCACACUGGAACUGAGACACGGUCCAGACUCCUACGGGAGGCAGCAGUAGGGAAUCUUCCGCAAUGGGCGAAAGCCUGACGGAGCAACGCCGCGUGAGUGAUGAAGGUCUUCGGAUCGUAAAACUCUGUUAUUAGGGAAGAACAAAUGUGUAAGUAACUAUGCACGUCUUGACGGUACCUAAUCAGAAAGCCACGGCUAACUACGUG
rnacentral:rRNA from 1 species